rnacentral:rRNA from 1 species
CCCUUAGAUGUUCUGGGCCGCACGCGCGCUACACUGUUCGACGCAGCGAGUCUUAACCUUGACCGAAAGGUUUGGGUAAUCUUCAGCAAAGUCGAACGUGAUGGGGAUCGAUCAUUGCAAUUAUUGAUCGUGAACGAGGAAUUCCUAGUAAGUGCAAGUCAUCAGCUCGCGUUGAUUACGUCCCUGCCCUUUGUACACACCGCCCGUCGCUACUACCGAUUGGGAAAAUUUUAGAGAGUCCUGGACUGAUGAUUGUUCGGCUUCACGGCCUUACUUUCGUCGGGAAAGAAUUCGAUAAUAUUUUUCUAGAGGAAGUAAAAGUCGUAACA